AGUAAAUAGAUACCCGGGUAGUCCACGCCGUAAACGAUGUCGACUUGGAGGUUGUGCCCUUGAGGCGUGGCUUCCGGAGCUAAACGCGUUAAAGUCGACCGCCUGGGGAGUACGGCCGCAAGGUUAAAACUCAAAUGAAUUGACGGGGGCCCGCACAAGCGGUGGAGCAUGUGGUUUAAUUCGAUGCAACGCGAAGAACCUUACCUACUCUUGACAUCCAGAGAACUUAGCAGAGAUGCUUUGGUGCCUUCGGGAACUCUGAGACAGGUGCUGCAUGGCUGUCGUCAGCUCGUGUUGUGAAAUGUUGGGUUAAGUCCCGCAACGAGCGCAACCCUUAUCCUUUGUUGCCAGCGGUUAGGUCGGGAACUCAAAGGAGACUGCCAGUGAUAAACUGGAGAAGGUGGGGAUGACGUCAAGUCAUCAUGGCCCUUACGAGUAGGGCUACACACGUGCUACAAUGGCGCAUACAAAGAGAAGCGACCUCGCGAGAGCAAGCGGACCUCAUAAAGUGCGUCGUAGUCCGG
rnacentral:rRNA from 1 species